AUAAAUUUGAAUUUUAGAGGCUUACAUGAUUAUGAUGGAAGAUUUUUAAUAAAUGCCAUAGAUCUCGAUGAAGAAAACUCUAGAAGAGAUCGCCGAGUCAAUUUACUUAUAUCUAUUGAUUUAAGGUCUUCUAAGUUAUUUUUACUUGUAAGAGUUUGACUUGAAAUCGUCGAGUUGAGUAGAUGAGAGAAUUAAGAUUUAAUUUAUUUUGAAUUAUAGUAACUAGCCUAUAUGGUGUUUUUGAACGUAUCAAUUGACUCGAGGAUCAGUCUAGAUGGAUGUACUCGGGGGAAGUUAGAGGACGAAACCAAAAGUUCUUGUCGUUGAUUCUAUGAAUAAUCUGGAG
rnacentral:lncRNA from 1 species